ensembl:snoRNA
AGCCUUUCUCCUUUUAUAAGCAUGAUGGUUGGGUGUUCACAAAUUUGUGUGAUAUGUGCCUCCAUUAAGUCUUGUUACAUAUUUGGCACAUUACCUAUCUGAAC